rnacentral:rRNA from 1 species
UACAGAGGUCUCAAGCGUUGUUCGGAUUCAUUGGGCGUAAAGGGUGCGUAGGCGGCGCGGUAAGUCGGGUGUGAAAUCUCGGAGCUUAACUCCGAAACUGCAUUCGAUACUGCGGUGCUUGAGGACUGGAGAGGGAGACUGGAAUUCAUGGUGUAGCAGUGAAAUGCGUAGAGAUCAUGAGGAAGACCAGUGGCGAAGGCGGGUCUCUGGACAGUUCCUGACACUGAGGCACGAAGGCCAGGGGAGCAAACGGG